CUUCAUAUCCUUGUGUUCGUCGUUUCGCUUUAAUCGUAAAAAAAAAAAAAAGAGAGAACUGACUAGAAACAACAACCAAAGUGUUUUUAACGCAAUUGACGAACGUACACGUCAAAACCGACUAUCGACUGUAUUUUACGUGUUUUAAAUACCAAAAUUUUAUUUUAUUACGUUUCGCGGAGUUUGGGCUUUGAAAGCGGGUUCGUAGGAGUAAAUGGGCCAAUUAAAGCACGUGAUUGGGCUUGUGGGUCUUGGGCCUAAGCCCAUUAAAAGAUUAACCCUAAGUAUGUAAAAUAGCAAGAAACCCUAAACUCCUUAUUAUUUUUUUCUUUUCACCAGCCGCUCAUUACCCGAUUGUUCCCUCCCAUUUCAUUUCCCUUACAAUCUUAUGUUCUAACACAAAUAAGAUUUCAUCUCCUCCAAACACACACACCUGGACAAAAACAACCAUCACCUCCUUGCACCUUAUUCCCCCAGACGAACUGAAAACAACCAGCCACCACCCUUUGGUGGCGGCAUACUGUGACUGAAGCACAGAUCGAGAGGGAGACGUGCGAGGGGAGAGAGAGAGAUGAACGAGAGAGGAACCGGCGGACGACAGCGGCGGUGAAGCCGCCUGAAUUAACGACAGCGGCGACGGGGUCAUUUGGGGUCUCUCUCCAUUUCAAACUCGGUUCUACGGGAGCAUCGAAGUCGUCGGAAUUCUUACGUUGGAUCCUCGUUCGUUAUUCUGUUCUCGGAUAACCGUUUCGUUCGUUCUCUUGGAUUAUUCACCAUCUUCACUCGUGCGUUAUUUCAGGGAAUUCUUAUACGCAACCAAUGUGGAUGUUGACGAUGCAUGGAAUCUAGUAGGAUGCUUAGAUACACACUUAAAAAAAUUUGUAUUCAUAUUGUAUUAUUUCAUUACUCAUGUUGUUGUAUUUUGUUUCAAAACCUUGUAAUUGAUUCUUUAGAAAUGGAAUGAAAUGAUUAUUUAAAUACU